AACGAACGCUGGCGGCAUGCCUAACACAUGCAAGUCGAACGAGACCUUCGGGUCUAGUGGCGCACGGGUGCGUAACGCGUGGGAACUUGCCCUUAGGUUCGGAAUAACUCCCCGUAAGGGGUGCUAAUACCGGAUAAUGUCUUCGGACCAAAGAUUUAUCGCCUUUGGAUGGGCCCGCGUUGGAUUAGCUAGUUGGUAGGGUAAAAGCCUACCAAGGCGACGUUCCUGAGCUGGUCUGAGAGGAUGAUCAGCCACACUGGGACUGAGACACGGCCCAGACUCCUACGGGAGGGAGCAGUGGGGAAUAUUGGACAAUGGGCGCAAGCCUGAUCCAGCAAUGCCGCGUGAGUGAUGAAGGCCUUAGGGUUGUAAAGCUCUUUUACCCGGGAUGAGAAUGACAGUACCGGGAGAAUAAGCUCCGGCUAACUCCGUG
rnacentral:rRNA from 1 species